GUUUGGGUUUGAAGAGAAACCGGGAGCUUUGUUGAGUCUGUUAUGUAAGGAAGGAGAGAAGGGAAGACGAAGCAGUUGCAGUUGCAGUUGCAGUUGCAGAAGCAGAGAAAGACGACGAAGCUGUGAGUGAGGAAAAUGGGAAGCAGAGGUCCUCCACCUCAAUCCCAUCCAAAUUCCGCUGCCAUUUCAAGGGGCUACAACUUCGCUUUCACUUGGGAACAGAAUGCUCCAUUGACAGAGCACCAACAAGCCGCGAUUUCAUCGCUUUCUCAUGCAGUUUCUGAACGACCAUUGCCUCUCAAGCACGCUCAGGAGAUUGCGUCGGUGCAAGAGAAUACGUUGUCGGUUAAAACUGAGGAUAACUGUUUCGAUGAUUCCGGCGCUAUUCAGGCUGUUAUGGUUAAUACCAAUCAGUUCUAUAAAUGGUUUAUGGAUCUUGAAUCUGCCAUGAAAUCAGAGACAGAAGAGAAAUAUCAACAUUACGUGAACACUCUUACCGAGCGCAUACAAACAUGUGAUGAUAUUCUCCAACAGGUUGAUGACACCCUAGACUUAUUCAAUGAACUGCAGUUGCAGCAUCAGGCAGUAGCUACAAAGACUAAAACACUUCACGAUGCAUGUGACCGAAUGGUACAGGAGAAGCAAAGACUGAUUGAUUUUGCUGAAGCACUUCGUAGUAAACUCAAUUACUUUGAUGAACUGGAGAAUGUUGCUACCAAUUUUUAUUCUCCAAACAUGAAUGUUGGAAAUGAAAACUUUCUACCUCUUCUCAAAAGGCUUGAUGAAUGUAUCUCGUAUGUUGAAAGCAAUCCACAGUAUGCUGAAUCCAGUGUUUACUUGCUUAAAUUUCGGCAACUCCAGUCUCGGGCAUUGGGCAUGAUGCGUUCUCAUGUACUUGCUGUUCUUAAAGGUGCCUCAUCUCAGGUCCAGGAAGCAAUUCGUGGAAGUGGGGAUGGCAAAACAUCUAUCUCUGAGGGAGUAGAGGCUUCUGUAAUAUAUGUUCGCUUCAAGGCAGCAGCAAGUGAGCUUAAGCCACUGCUUGAAGAAAUUGAAAGUAGGUCUUCAAGGAAAGAAUAUGGUCAAAUCCUUGCAGAAUGCCACAGAUUAUACUGUGAGCAGCGCCUCUCUUUGAUAAGAGCUAUAGUUCAGCGACGAAUAUCUGAAUUUUCCAAGAAAGAGUCCUUGCCAUCCUUGACCAGAUCAGGAUGUGCAUAUCUAAUACAGGUCUGUCAACUUGAACAUCAGCUCUUCGAUCAUUUUUUCCCUGUGUCUUCAAAGGAUAUUUCAAGUUUAGCUCCAUUAAUGGAUCCUCUGUCAACAUAUUUGUAUGAUACACUGCGUCCCAAAAUUGUUCAUGAAACAAAUAUUGAUUUUCUUUGUGAGCUUGUUGAUAUACUUAGAAUGGAAGUCCUGGGGGAACAUCAUAGUAGAAGGAGUGAAUCACUAGCUGGUCUUCGUCCUACAUUUGAAAGAAUUUUAGCAGAUGUGCAUGAGCGGUUGACAUUUCGUGCUCGGACUCAUGUACGGGAUGAGAUUGCGAAUUACAUACCAACUAAUGAAGACUUGGACUAUCCUGAAAGGCUGAAGAGGUCUGCUGAUAGUACAUCGGAGAUCAAUCCUGCUGAUGACAACCCAGAUAUAUCUAAGACAUGGUAUCCACCCCUAGAAAAAACUCUAGCAUGUCUUUCAAAGCUGUAUCGUUGUUUAGAGUCAGAAGUAUUCACUGGUUUAGCACAGGAAGCCGUGGAGGUUUGUUCAACAUCUAUUCAGAAAGCAAGCAAAUUAAUUGCAAAGAGAUCAUCACAAAUGGAUGGGCAGCUCUUUCUUAUAAAACAUCUUUUAAUUUUAAGGGAGCAGAUUGCACCGUUCAAUAUUGAAUUUUCAGUCACACAAAAGGAACUUGACUUCUCUCAUUUGCUGGAGCAUCUACGAAGACUUCUAAGAGGUCAAGCCUCACUAUUUGACUGGUCAAGGUCAACUUCAUUGGCGAGGACCUUGUCUCCAAGAGUUUUGGAAAAUCAAAUUGAUACCAAGAAGGGGGCAACAAGAAUUGAACUUUAGACCAUUGGGUUAUAGAGCUCCAGUACUGUAUGGAGUGGGAUGGCAACGGUACCCGGACCUGGACACGCUCCUCUACCCGCGGGUAUUUACCCGGACCCGUCUCUGAAUAAAUGGGUACCCGUUUAACGGGUCCGGGUACCCGCGGGUCCCCAUAUCUUUUUUUUGUUUUCUUUUUUAUUUAUUCCAUACAAUAUUUUCUGCUCCUUUACUUUAAGAAAUUCAUUAAGAUAUACAAUAAAUCCUUCAUGCUAGAAUUUUCACAUAUCACAAAAAUAGUCACAAAUAUGCAUGUAUUUUGUUUUGGGGAAUUUGUUCAUUGGAAUUAUUUUAUUCAAAGUUUCACAGAUGUAUAAAAAGUAAAAUCAUGAAACACAGGUUUGUGUGUCAAUUUUCUGGAGCAUAGGUCUUGGGGGAAAAAGCUUUUUGUUAUUGUUGUUCAUUAUGAUGAGUAGAAAAUAUAUCAGAACUUUGAGAUGCAACUAGAGAUAGUUUUUAUGCGUGUUUUAAAAUCAUGAAUAAUACUUGUUGAGUUUAUUCACGUAGCAGAAAGUGCUCUUUCUUGUAAACUUUAAAUAUCUUGAUAUGUAGAACCAAAUGGAAUAAAAAUAUCUAUGCUACUGAAUAAUAUUCACCUGGAAUAAAUUUUUAAUAAUAAAUGGGUACCCGUGGGUACCUGGACCCGGACCCGCCCCGUUUCUAAAUGGGUAGUAAAAAUAUCCGCUUCAUCUGCCCGCGGGUCCAAUUACCUAAGCGGGUAUUUACCCGCGGGUCCGGGUAUUUUGCCAUCCCUAGUAUGGACCUACUAUCUCAAAAACAAACAAUUAAGUGAAAGCACAUGUGUAGUUUUAUAUUUAACAUUUUGGCGGUAAAUUGGUAGUUUGUUACUAUCCCCUUAUACAAAAAUUAGAUGAGAAAACAUUGAUUAGACAUAACCCUCUCAAAAUUUAAGUUUAAAUUAUCUACUUUGGCAUUUGGCCCUUGAACUAUUUAAUUUGAUUUUGAUGUGCAUACAUAUGUGAUCAGCCAUUGAAUAUGCGAUAGUCUAUACCCAGCAGUAGUUGAUUGGAUAAUUACUAAAGUGGAACUUUCAGUGAAGAUGAGGAAUGAGAGGAGCUGGAAAAAAGCCUUAAAGCCACGUGCGAAGAGUUCAUCAUGGCAGUUACUAAGCUAGUUGUGGAUCCUUUGCUUUCAUUUGUUACAAAGGUU